rnacentral:misc_RNA from 1 species
UCUCCUCAUCGUCUCAUUCUCUUGCCAACCUUCGAACGUGCCGGAAGUGCAAACCCAACCUGCUGCCUUUAAAAUAGAACGGGACUUGAAGUGAAGAGUGGGGUAAAGAAAAAAAAAAGGAAGAACAAGAGUGAAUUGAGUGUGCCGCGUUUGGAACACGCCUCAUCCGGGACCACCAGCGAGGACACCCGUUACGUAAUCACCAUGGAGGCCGCCCCAGCAGCAGCAAAGCCGGAAGUGAACGGAAAUCCGUUGCCACAGCGCCAGCAAAAGAACCAAAAUCAGCAAAAGCAGGGUGGCGCAGCAGGAGGCGCUGGUGGUGGUGACGGUGGCAAUCAGGGCCAGCAAAAUCAGCAGCAGCAGCAGCAGGGAGGAGGAAACAAGAAUCAGAACCAGAAUAACCGCAAUAGAAACCGAGGCGGUGGCGCAAACGGUCCGAACCGUGGUGGUGGUGGUGGCCGGAACAAUUUCGGUAACCGCAACAACCAGCAAGGCGGUGGAGGACAGGAUGCCGGAAACGGCGAGGGUGGAAAUAACCAGCAGCAGCAGCAGAAUAACCAGGGAUUCCAGAACCGGAACCAGGGCGGUCCCAAGAACCGCGGUGGACCCCGGAAUCAGGGCGGCGAUGGCGAGGGUGGCGGUGGCUUCGACCGGCGUCGCGCCAACAACGAGCAAUACUUUAUCGGCGAGAAGCUGCGCCUGCUGCAGGGACCGCUGCUGGACCUGCCGGCGAUCGAGUCCACUGAGGAGGUCAAAUUCUCCGGCCGCAACCGGCUGUACAUUGGCAACCUGACGGCCGACGUGACCGAGGAGGAGCUGGUCGAACUGUUCAUGCCGUACGGCGAGAUUACCGAGAUCUUCAUGAACAAGGAGAAGCUGUACGCGUUCGUGCGCGUCGACUUCUUCUCGAACGCCGAGAAGGCCAAGCGCGAACUGGACGGGACCUCGCGCAAGAACCGAAUUCUGCGGGUUCGAUUUGCGCCCAACGCGACCGCCAUCAAGGUCAAGAACCUAACGCAGGACGUCAGCAACGAACUGCUGUACAAGGCGUUCGAGGUGUUUGGCCCGCUGGAGCGUGCCGUCGUGCAGGUCGACGAGCGCGGCAAGUCCACCGGCGAGGGUAUCGUCGAGUACAAGAACAAGCCGAGCGCGAUGGCCGCCCAGCGGUACUGUUCGGAGCGUUGCUACUUCUUGAACUCGUCGCUGCGUCCGUGCAUCGUGGAACCGUACAUGUACCAGGACAACAACGCCGACGGUCUGCCCGAAAAGUCGCUUAACAAGAAGAUUCCAGAGUUCAUGAAGCUGCGACAGCAAGGACCGCACUUUGCCGACCAGGGUUCGUUCGAGCACGAGUACGGCCAGCGCUGGAAGCAGAUGCACGAUCUGUUCAAGCAAAAGUCCGACGCGCUCAAGCGCGAGAUGGAAAUGGAGGAGGAGAAGCUGGAGGCGCAGAUGGAGUACGCCCGCUACGAGCACGAGACCGAGCAGCUGCGAGAACAGCUCCGUAUGCGCGAGCAGGACAGCGACCGCCAAAAGGCCGAGUGGGAGAUGAAGGAGCGCAUGGCGGUGGAGAACAAGCAGCGCAACGAGAUCCAGAUGAAGCACAAGGUCGAGGAGAUGCAGAACCUGAUCAAGCGCACCGACGAGGAACUGCACCGGCGCCAGCUCGAGAACAACGUGUUCAUGCAGAACCAGCAGAUGAACCUCCUGGACGGCAUGGAUGACAACCGCCAGGGCUUCGGUAACAUGCGAGGUGGUAACAACUUUGACGCCGGAAUGGGACUGGCAAACCUAAGGAAUCAAUUCCAUCGGAAAUCCUCUCGAAAGAUUUUCUGAAAGCGGGCAAGAAAAUGAAAAACCUCUUGAAGCUACCUCACAUUUCGACGCACUUGUUCAAGUACUGAUCCCGAUUCGCCACUAUAGAAGAGAGAACCUUAACUUAGUGUACAUAGCUAAUGCAGAGGAGAUUCCGCCACGGAUUCCGCCGGGAAUGUGGUGUCGACUAGGGGUUCUACGCAGUUUAAAGACAAACGUGGAACACCCACCGUUAGGCUUGGACUUUAGAGAAUGUUGUUUGAAAUGACAACGCUCGAUGAACCACGCUUCUAAAGAGCUAACCGUCCAGCGGGUUAUGGUUCGACAUUCACAAUAAAUGCAUCGGAUGCACACGGAAGGAUGCUGCCUAAGAGAAUAUUCGCCGUAGCAAUUUCAAAGAUUCGAUCCGUUAGAAUAAAAGAAGAUUGAUCUGGAACCUAACGAGGACUGACUAGCUGAAGGUUAAGCAAGAAUGCUGCCGGUCAAAGCUCGGAACUGCCACUUCGCUUCUACAUCGUGAAAAUCAUCAAUAGUACAAAAAAACCUCAGUGAUAUAAAAGCCUUGUGUUAUCGAACAAUAAUAAAGAGAGACAAAAAAAAAGCCAAA